rnacentral:rRNA from 1 species
GGAAUAUUGGACAAUGGGCGAAAGCCUGAUCCAGCCAUGCCGCGUGGGUGAAGAAGGCCCUAGGGUUGUAAAUCCCUUUCAGCGGGGAAGAUAAUGACGGUACCCGCAGAAGAAGCCCCGGCUAACCCCGUGCCAGCAGCCGCGGUAAUACGGAGGGGGCUAGCGUUGUUCGGAAUUACGGGGCGUAAAGCGCGCGUAGGCGGACCUGUAAGUCGGGGGUGAAAUCCCGAGGCUCAACCUCGGAACUGCCUUCGAUACUGCGGGUCUUGAGUCCGGGAGAGGUGAGUGGAAUUCCUAGUGUAGAGGUGAAAUUCGUAGAUAUUAGGAAGAACACCAGUGGCGAAGGCGGCUCACUGGCCCGGUACUGACGCUGAGGCGCGAAAGCGUGGGGAGCAAAC